GAAAUGCGAUACGUAAUGUGAAUUGCAGAAUUCCGUGAACCAUCGAAUCUUUGAACGCAUAUUACGCUCUUUGGUAUUCCGAAGAGCAUGCUUGUUGAGUAUCAGUAAACACCUCAAAGUUUUUGGAUUUUUUUUUGAAAGCUUUGGACUUGGGCAAUCCCAACACCAAUCUUUUUCUGAUCGGCGGCGGGUUGCUUGAAAUGUAUGUGCAGCUGGACUUUCUCCUGAGCUAAAAGCAUAAUCAUUGUGUCCCGUCGAACGGAUUAUUACUUUUGCUGCAGCUAACAUAAGGGAGUUUGACCGCAUUGGCCGACUGAUGCAGUAUUUCACAAGGGUCGGCAACGAUUCUUGUUAAACUCGAUCUCAAAUCAAGUAAGACUACCCGCUGAACUUAA
rnacentral:misc_RNA from 1 species